rnacentral:rRNA from 1 species
UACGUAGGGUGCGAGCGUUGUCCGGAAUUAUUGGGCGUAAAGAGCUCGUAGGCGGCUUGUCGCGUCGGAUGUGAAAGCCCGGGGCUUAACUCCGGGUCUGCAUUCGAUACGGGCAGGCUAGAGUUCGGUAGGGGAGAUCGGAAUUCCUGGUGUAGCGGUGAAAUGCGCAGAUAUCAGGAGGAACACCGGUGGCGAAGGCGGAUCUCUGGGCCAUUACUGACACUGAGAAGCGAAAGCAUGGGGAGCGAACAGG